rnacentral:rRNA from 1 species
AUUGAACGCUGGCGGCAGGCCUAACACAUGCAAGUCGAACGAGUGGCGGACGGGUGAGUAAUGUCUGGGAAACUGCCUGAUGGAGGGGGAUAACUACUGGAAACGGUAGCUAAUACCGCAUACCAUGGGAUGUGCCAAGAUGGGAUUAGCUAGGAGGUGGGGAAAAGGCUCACCUAGGCGACGAUCCCUAGCUGGUCGGAGAGGAUGACCCGCCACACUGGAACUGAGACACGGUCCCGACUCCUACGGGAGGCCGCAGUGGGGAAUAUUGCACAAUGGGCGCACGCCUGAUGCCGCCUUGCCGCGUGUAUGAAGAAGGCCUUCGUGUUGUAAAGUACUUUCAGCGUGGAGGCGUUACCCGCAGAAGAAGCACCGGCUAACUCCGUGCCAGCAGCCGCGGUAAUAC